GCUGCUGGGGCUGGUUCCAGUUGGGAAGUGAACUGGAUGAUGGACCCAGCCGGAUGGGAUGCAGAGCUCCAGAGCGACGUGGAACUGGGAAUGCUCCCGGAGCAGGGAACGGGCUCCCUGCCAUCCUGCAGCAUUCCCAAGCUUUGUGGCUCUCUCCUAGAGGGAUGUGACAUGGAGAACGGUGAACUCACAGCAGAGAUAGGUAAGUCCGGAUGCAGUUCCCAUAGGAUGGGCUCCUGUGGAUUGGGAUCCCAUGGUUUGCCAGGGGUUAUCCCUCAGAAGCAGCCUAAAGGGGCUAUAGGAAACCUGGAAGAGGGGCUUGGGAUAAGGGAUGCAGGGACAGGACCUGGAAGAAGGAGGAAUUGGAUGGAUAUUGGGAAGAGGGCAGUGGGACAUUGGGAUGGGUUGAAUGGGAAGGUCUGGAUGCUGCAAGGGAGCAACCUGCUCCAGUGUCCCUAUGGCAUUGGGCUGGAUGAGCUCUGA
rnacentral:lncRNA from 1 species